GUACACACCGCCCGUCACACCAUGGGAGUUGGUUCUACCCGAAGGCGUUGCGCCAACCGCAAGGGGGCAGGCGACCACGGUGGGCUCAGCGACUGGGGUGAAGUCGUAACAAGGUAGCCGUAGGUGAACCUGCAGAAGGAUCA
rnacentral:rRNA from 1 species